UAGAGUAUACAGAUCAGGUCCCCACUCCCU
rnacentral:piRNA from 1 species